CUUCCAUCAUCCUGCAGCCCUGCAUCUCAUCAUCCUCUUCAGUUUAUAACUGAUGUUGGUUUGGCUGCCUCUCAUGCUGAAAGCAAGGUUUCACCUUGCCGACAGGCUGAUGGUUCUCCAAGUGCUGAAGUAAUGGGGCCAGAGGUUAGCCUUCCAGAGGAUAUCAUUUGGAAGAUACAUGCCCUUAUGCCUAUUCAAGAUGCCGCUCGUGCUGCCUGCUUGUCUCAUGAUUUUCUUCACUCUUGGAGAUGCUAUCCCAAGCUCAUAUUUGAUAUGAGAGCACUAGGCAAACAAACAAGGGAUUUUAUCAACAUAGUUGACCACAUCAUGCGGAAUCACUCUGGCGUUGGGGUGAAGACAUUUAAAUU